CCAUAGCUCAGUUGGUUAGAGCAUCUGACUCAUAAUCAGAGGGUCACUGGUUCGAGCCCAGUUGGG
rnacentral:tRNA from 1 species